GGGAGGCAGGCUGGACAGGAGGCAGAAAAGGGAAUGUAGACUAAGCAACUUCCAGACCACUCACUGGGGAUGCCAGCCACCGUAUCAUGAGGUCAAGCAGCAUGAAGGGGUCUAUACGGUGAGGGAGCGCCAGCUGCGUAAGUCACCCUAGAAGUGUGUCCUCCAGGCCCAAGUGUGCCCUUCAGGUGACUACAGCUGUGACACCGUGACUACCACCUCUGAGCCACUGUGGCCAGAACGACCUAGAAAUGCCACUCCUGAAUUCUGGACCCACAGAAAUCACGUGAGAUGUUUAUUAUUGUUUUCAGCCACUGAAUUUAAGAGUACUUCAAUUUACAGCAACAGUUCAUACUGUCUUAAAGGGCAGAAGUUGCCUGCUGGCAUGGCCUUCUCGUGGAGCCUUCCACAGUCCAGGCUCCCCACUAGUGAGAUGCUCCAGUAGCCCCAAGCUGUCUGCCGGGGCACUGCUGGGCAUUAGAAGGCACUGCUUUCCCUCCAGGCUGGAGUACCUGAGUAUUACAGGCUGACUUGUUAUUUUGCAACGUAGGAGGUACGCCCAAUAUUAUGCAAAGAAACUUGUGCUCAUGUUACUGAAAUAAGCAAGCUCAAGGGUGAAUGCAAAAAUUCUCUACAUCACUGUGCCCUGGUGGCAUAUUUUUCUAUUUUUAGCUCUUUUCAUUCAGAAAAGCCAGCAAGAACUCUUAUUCAAUCACAUCUUCUUUCGGGACUUCUUGAUGAUAUACCAGAGAACUUUAUUUUUUAAAAAUAAAGAUUAAUCAUGUCAAUAGUUGUCUUUCCCCCACCCCAAACUGUUCUAAAGCUUAAAUAUUGUAGGAGUACCUGAGUGGUUCAGUCAGUUAAGCAUUCGACUCUUGAUCUCGGCUCAGGUCAUGAUCUCCUGGUCCGUGGGAUCAAGCCCCACAUCAGGCUCUGCGCUGACAGCACAGGGCUUGCUUGGGAUUCUCUCUCCCUCUCUCUUUGUCCCUUCCCUGCAUGUGCAAGCAUGUGUGUGCACCUGCUCUCUCUCUCUCUUAAUAAAUAUGUAAACUUAAAAAAAAAUCUUAAAUAUUGUAAUUGCUAAAAUAAGUAUUGA